GGGCGGGUAGCUCAGCUGGAAGAGCGGUGCCCUUACAAGGCAUAGGUCGGAGGUUCGAACCCUCUCCCGCCCACCA
rnacentral:tRNA from 1 species